rnacentral:tRNA from 1 species
GCCCCUGUAGCUCAGUGGAUUAGAGUGCGACGUUGCGGACGUUGAGGUCGAAGGUUCGAGUCCUUCCAGGGGCG